CUGAAAUGAGACUGGGUUUACCCUACUUCGGCGCCCAUGUCCAUCCACACUUGCGUGCACCCGUUAACUGUCUCUGGCAGUUAUGUCUCUCCCCAAUUCCAAGUUUAAAGGCCAGGGGCAGGCCCGUUAGGUGGCUUGGUCAAGCUGUCCUCUUGGGCGUAGUUUUUUAAACCUACCCUGUGCUGGGAGUUGGGGCUUUUUUAAACGAGACAGGCUGCCGAUAGGCUGUGGCCUAUCACGUUUUUAACACUUGCUUUAACCUGUAAAGUCUGAAACUUAAUAUCAUUUAAUGAUUUGAAA
rnacentral:misc_RNA from 1 species